AGUGAUGCGAACGAUUCGGAUGAGUUUCUCGCCCUUGAAGCUCGAAGUGGCAUCAUCUCUCGCCUUCAAAGACCAGCAACGAUGACUAGGCGCUGUUGUGAGGACGAUUUUGCAGGUGCUUUUAUCUUCUCUAUUGUACGAGCAACUGGCGAGGAAGACAACCCCAACCACACGGUUUGGGGUCGUGUCUCGAUCAUUGUUCUUGAUGGAGCGACUCCCUUCUAACUUUUCAGCGCAUGGAGGAGAAGACGACCCUGGGGUCGCUGUCUUUUG
rnacentral:misc_RNA from 1 species